rnacentral:pre_miRNA from 1 species
GGCUUGUAUAGUAGCCAAGAAUGACUUGCCUGCAUUCUUUCCAAAGAUGUAUGGUCCGAUCAGCCACAGUAACUAGUCGAAAGAAUGUGGGCAAGUAUGUGUUUUUGUGGGUUUCCAGGCAGUCAUCUUGGCUAACUUUACAAGCUCU